rnacentral:misc_RNA from 1 species
GUGAAGAACGUAGUGAAAUGCGAUAAGUAAUGUGAAUUGCAGAAUUCAGUGAAUCAUCGAAUCUUUGAACGCACAUUGCGCCCGCCAGUAUUCUGGCGGGCAUGCCUGUUCGAGCGUCAUUUCAACCAUCAAGCCCCAGGCUUGUGUUGGGGACCUGCGGCUGCCGCAGGCCCUGAAAACCAGUGGCGGGCUCGCUGUCACACCGGGCGUAGUAGAUUUUAUCUCGCUCAGGGCGUGCUGCGGGUCCCGGCCGUUAAAAGCCUUUUUUUACCCAAGGUUGACCUCGGAUCAGGUAGGAAGACCCGCUGAACUUAAGCAUAUCAAUAAGCGGAGGA